rnacentral:rRNA from 1 species
UACGGAGGGUGCAAGCGUUGUUCGGAAUUACUGGGCGUAAAGCGCACGUAGGCGGGUUUACAAGUCGAUUGUGAAAUCCCCGGGCUCAAUCCGGGAAUGGCAGUCGAAACUGUAAGUCUUGAAUACCUGAGAGGGUGACGGAAUUCCUGGUGUAGAAGUGAAAUUCGUAGAUAUCAGGAGGAACACCGGAGGCGAAGGCGGUUGCCUGGCAGUGUAUUGACGCUGAGGUGCGAAAGCGUGGGGAGCAAACAGG